rnacentral:rRNA from 1 species
GUAGCAAUACUCGCUGGCGACCGGCAAACGGGUGCGGAACACGUACACAAUCUACCUUUAUCUGGGGUAUAGCCCGAAGAAAUUCGGAUUAAUCCCCCAUAAGAUAUUAGAGUGGCAUCACUUAAAUAUUAAAACUCCGGUGGAUAAAGAUGAGUGUGCGUCCCAUUAGCUAGUUGGUAGGGUAACGGCCUACCAAGGCAACGAUGGGUAGCUGGUGUGAGAGCACGACCAGCCACACGGGCACUGAGACACGGGCCCGACUCCUACGGGAGGCAGCAGUGAGGAAUAUUGGUCAAUGGACGCAAGUCUGAACCAGCCAUGCCGCGUGAAGGAUGAAGGCCUUCUGGGUUGUAAACUUCUUUUAUUGGGGAAGAAAAUUACGGUUACUACUGUAACCGACGGUACCCAAGGAAUAAGCACCGGCUAACUCCGUGCCAGCAGCCGCGGUAAUACGGAGGGUGCAAGCGUUAUCCGGAUUCACUGGGUUUAAAGGGUGUGUAGGCGGGCAUUUAAGUCAG